GACACCGUAGAUAAUAAGUCGGUCUUGGCAUAAAGUUCCGGGAAGUUUUCGGCGACGUGGAUACCAUCUUCGACGCUGGAACAAAUCCAGGGAUGGAGUCCAGGAUUUCCUGCGGCUUCGGCGCUUCCUGACCUGGCGCGACUGCCGACUUCUCCGCACUACUCAGCUCAAGAUCCCAGAGGAAGAGGAGUCAUCUUUCCCAGUGACUUUAGCAGAAAAGUCCCUGAGUCAGUCACUGUGCCCACUGGAAGACAAAUGGAGACUCACCAAGCUUUGGUCAUGAACUCACUGGGACUGCAAGAGACUGGGUCAGCCCCACCAAAAUAAUGCAGAAGGGAAAUACGUGGUUUUUCAAAGGAAAGACAGAUUUGCCUUCCCACCUAAAAGCUAAAAGCUUCCACAAGGGACUUGUAACAACCUAGGAGUAUUAGCCGGGUGUGGUGGUGCAUGCCUGUAGGCCC